UACGGAGGAUGCGAGCGCUAUCCGGAUUUAUUGGGUUUAAAGGGUGCGUAGGCGGACGGUCAAGUCAGCGGUAAAAAUGCGGUGCUCAACGCCGUACAGCCGUUGAAACUGGCAGUCUUGAGUGGGCGAGAAGUAUGCGGAAUGCGUGGUGUAGCGGUGAAAUGCAUAGAUAUCACGCAGAACUCCGAUUGCGAAGGCAGCAUACCGGCGCCCUACUGACGCUGAGGCACGAAAGCGUGGGUAUCGAACAGG
rnacentral:rRNA from 1 species